GUAGGACUGUUCCGUUAGGAGGUAGGACCGUUCCGUUAGGAGGUAGGACUGUUCCAUUAGGAGGUAGGACCGGUCCGUUAGGAGGUACGACCGUUCCGUUAGGAGGUAGGACCGUUCCGUUAGGAGGUAGGACUGUUCCGUUAGGAGUUAGGACCGUUCUGUUAGGAGGUAGGACACUUCCGUUAGGAGGUAGGACACUUCCGUUAGGAGGUAGGAUACAUCCGUUAGGAGGUAGGACUGUUCCGUUAGGAGGUAGGACACUUCGGUUAGGAGGUAGGACUGUUCCGUUAGGAGGUAGGACACUUCGGUUAGAAGGUAGGACCGUUCCGUUAGGAGGUAGGACCGUUCCGUUAGGAGGUAGGACACUUCCGUUAGAAGGUAGGACACUUCCGUUAGAAGGUAGGACCGUUCUGUUAGGAGGUAGGACCGUUCCGUUAGGAGGUAGGACUGUUCCGUUAGGAGGUAGGACCGGUCCGUUAGGAGGUAGGACCGUUCUGUUAGGAGGUAGGACACUUCCGUUAGGAG
ensembl:lncRNA